UAGGGAAUCUUCGGCAAUGGACGAAAGUCUGACCGAGCAACGCCGCGUGAGUGAAGAAGGUUUUCGGAUCGUAAAACUUUGUCGUUAGAGAAGAACAAGGACGCUAGUAACUGAACGACCCCUGACGGUAUCUAACCAGAAAGCCACGUCUAACGACGUGCCAGCAGCCGGGGUAAUACGUAGCUCGCAUGCGUUGUCCGGAUUGAUUGGGCGUAAAGCGAGCGAAGGCGGUUACUUAAGUCUGAUGUGAAAGCCCCCGGCUCAACCGGGGAGGGUCAUUUGGAACUGGGAGGCUUGUGUGCAGAAUAGGAGAAUAGUAUUCGAUGUGUACCGGUUAAAAGCGUAGAUAUUUGGAGAAAAACCAGUGGCGAAGGCGGCUCUCUGGUCUGUAACUGACGCUGAGGCUCGAAAGCGUGGGGAGCAAACAGG
rnacentral:rRNA from 1 species